rnacentral:rRNA from 1 species
UACGUAGGCAGCGAGCGUUGUUCGGAAUUACUGGGCGUAAAGAGUGUGUAGGCGGUGCUCUAAGUUCGGUGUGAAAUCUCCUGGCUCAACUGGGAGGGUGCGCCGGAAACUGGAGUGCUUGAGCGUGGGAGAGGAAAGCGGAAGUUCCUGGUGUAGCGGUGAAAUGCGUAGAUAUCAGGAGGAACACCUGUGGUGUAGACGGCUUUCUGGACCAUAGCUGACGCUGAGACACGAAAGCCGUGGGUAGCAAACAGG